AUCCAUCUGAUGAGUCCCAAAUGGGACGAAACGCACGUUCUGGAU
rfam:Schistosoma mattheei strain Denwood, Zambia genome assembly, scaffold: SMTD_scaffold0002459